rnacentral:lncRNA from 1 species
UCCCACAAUGAUAAUCGAUAGUAUUCCGGGUUGACGAAUCGGGCAUUUAACCAGUACAGAGUAUCCAUCUACCAAAGCUAAUGUGAAACUCCAAGGUAUAACCAGACCCAUGAUUGUCACCAAAUAGCUACAACAUGAAUAAUAGAAAAUUCCAUGAAUUUUUACUGGUUAGAUUAUCACAGCAAAGAGAAUAGCAGAGAAAAGAGAAAGUACCAGAAAGCUGUGUAGCUGUAGAAUUCAACCCCCAAAGACAUAAAGAGAAGAGAAGCAGAUGAGAACAAAGUCUGGCCUAAUCUCAAACUGAAGCUGAAACUUGUGCCAACAGAGCCAGGUAAUUCAUUCAUGUAACUUAUUCUAUAAGGUUCUAAAUUCUAAACUAUAUAACUCUAUUAUUGUUCCUUCCUCUUCCCUUUGUAAUAUGCUAUCAUCAUAUAUUGUUUUCCUUCAAGACUCAACCACAAUCCCUCACCACCUAGUAUUGUCAUCUAACCUUAGCUGAAUCUUUGAAAACACAAAAACAUUAUUGGCAUCAGUUGAUCCUUAACACUUCUUUUCCAAGAAGAAACUUCAUGAAUGAAGAUUUCUGGCUAGAUGGAAGCUUUUGCUAUAUCUCAGUUGAUUGAGCAAUAAUGCAGUUUCCUUAAUUAUCACAAAUGAGUUACUGUUUUUUCGGUGGCAUGUCCUUAGCACCGCUAGAUAUAUCAGAUUUCUGUGACAAUACUUUGUAGGUAGAUUUGGAUAGCAGCAAUGUUUUUAGGUGUUGUACAUAGUAGAAAGAGAUUAAAAUAAUUUUGAUAUUUGAAAAAUUAGUUAUAUAAUAUAUUCUAAAGUGUGAUCAAUAAGAUGCUUACUUUGUUAGAUUUGAUCCUUAAGAUUGUUUAGAUUUGGUUAAUAUACUUUUUAUGUGGUUUUGAAUGGUCGUUGAUCCUGUUAUAAGGACGAGGCAACGUAGGCAUAUGUCCAAAAUGAAUUCAUACCAUUGCUUUAAGAAGGAACAUAGAUUCUACAUUUGUCACAACCUUAUUUGAC